UACAGAGGGGGCAAGCGUUAUUCGGAAUUAUUGGGCGUAAAGGGCGCGUAGGCGGCGAUUCAAGUGACGGGUGAAAUCCCUCGGCUUAACCGAGGAACUGCCUGUCAGACUGGAUUGCUUGAGGCCGGGAGAGGCGAGUGGAAUUCCCAGUGUAGCGGUGAAAUGCGUAGAUAUUGGGAGGAACACCAGUGGCGAAGGCAGCUCGCUGGGACGUUACUGACGCUGAGACGCGAAAGCGUGGGGAGCAAACAGG
rnacentral:rRNA from 1 species